CAAAAAAUAAACCCUAGGUUUCCGUGUCCAACGUUUGACUGUUUGUCUUAUAUAAAUUUUUUUUAUAAUUAGUAUUUUCAUUGUUGUUAGAUGAUAAAACAUGAUUAAUACUUUAUGCGUGUCUUAUCUUUUUAAUUUUUUUUAAAUAAGACGGAGGGUCAAACGUUGGACACGGAAACCUAGGGUUUGUCUUUUU
rnacentral:pre_miRNA from 1 species